rnacentral:rRNA from 1 species
UAGGGAAUAUUGGUCAAUGGACGCAAGUCUGAACCAGCCAUGCCGCGUGAAGGAUGAAGGUCCUCUGGAUUGUAAACUUCUUUUAUAGGGGACGAAAAAAGGGAAUUCUUUCUCGUCUGACGGUACCCUAGGAAUAAGCACCGGCUAACUCCGUGCCAGCAGCCGCGGUAAUACGGAGGGUGCAAGCGUUAUCCGGAUUUACUGGGUUUAAAGGGAGCGUAGGUGGGUCUGUAAGUCAGUGGUGAAAUCUCCGAGCUUAACUCGGAAACUGCCAUUGAUACUAUCAGUCUUGAAUAUUGUGGAGGUCAGCGGAAUAUGUCAUGUAGCGGUGAAAUGCUUAGAUAUGGCAUAGAACACCAAUUGCGAAGGCAGCUGGCUACGCAUAUAUUGACACUGAGGCACGAAAGCGUGGGGAUCAAACA